rnacentral:lncRNA from 1 species
ACCUCUUCAUCUCAACCCAUACUUUUUGAGAAUCUACCGGUGCGAGAUGACCUAGCAGAUGAUCGGGUUAGCAUGUCUCCUAAGAGUAACAUAAAUCAGAUGUCUUAUGAAGUCAUCUCUUCGAAUGAUCAGGGAGACUCAUCAGCAAAAAAGAAUAAUAAUGAUAUUUUUCUCAAUGUAGCAAAUUUAUAAUGCCCAUUUACAUAAUCAACCCAAGUAUUUUCCAAAGGUAGAUCAACACAUAAUUAUUUAUCUGUAUCAUGUCUGUGUAACGUUCUCCACUUCUUAGUCAAAGUACACUAUACAUAUGUUUCCGUACAAACAAAACACUCGAAAACUAUAUUACAUUAUUACGUAACAUGCACUAUAUAUGAAAUUCAGUAGUACUACUAUAUUAACCAUACCGAUACAGACGACGCACGUAUAUGUGCAUCAGCCAAAAAUAGACCAAUCGUCGGCACUCGGCGAUGCGCGAUGUCUGCUUAAUUCACUUGCUCACGAUUUCCAAAGGGACCGCAUACACUGGUUCACCGUCUUGAUACUGAUGCGUCAUCGUCGGCUUCUCCAGACAUACCGCCGGCUGCUCGAUCACGUUCACCUUGCCACGGCGCACCGCCACGCUGCCNNN